GGGUUGUGAGGUUAAGCGACUAAGCGUACACGGUGGAUGCCCUGGCAGUCAGAGGCGAUGAAGGACGUGCUAAUCUGCGAUAAGCGUCGGUAAGGUGAUAUGAACCGUUAUAACCGGCGAUUUCCGAAUGGGGAAACCCAGUGUGUUUCGACACACUAUCAUUAACUGAAUCCAUAGGUUAAUGAGGCGAACCGGGGGAACUGAAACAUCUAAGUACCCCGAGGAAAAGAAAUCAACCGAGAUUCCCCCAGUAGCGGCGAGCGAACGGGGAGCAGCCCAGAGCCUGAAUCAGUAUGUGUGUUAGUGGAAGCGUCUGGAAAGGCGCGCGAUACAGGGUGACAGCCCCGUACACAAAAAUGCACAUAUUGUGAGCUCGAUGAGUAGGGCGGGACACGUGGUAUCCUGUCUGAAUAUGGGGGACCAUCCUCCAAGGCUAAAUACUCCUGACUGACCGAUAGUGAACCAGUACCGUGAGGGAAAGGCGAAAAGAACCCCGGCGAGGGGAGUGAAAAAGAACCUGAAACCGUGUACGUACAAGCAGUGGGAGCACGCUUAGGCGUGUGACUGCGUACCUUUUGUAUAAUGGGUCAGCGACUUAUAUUCUGUAGCAAGGUUAACCGAAUAGGGGAGCCGAAGGGAAACCGAGUCUUAACUGGGCGUUAAGUUGCAGGGUAUAGACCCGAAACCCGGUGAUCUAGCCAUGGGCAGGUUGAAGGUUGGGUAACACUAACUGGAGGACCGAACCGACUAAUGUUGAAAAAUUAGCGGAUGACUUGUGGCUGGGGGUGAAAGGCCAAUCAAACCGGGAGAUAGCUGGUUCUCCCCGAAAGCUAUUUAGGUAGCGCCUCGUGAAUUCAUCUCCGGGGUAGAGCACUGUUUCGGCAAGGGGGUCAUCCCGACUUACCAACCCGAUGCAAACUGCGAAUACCGGAGAAUGUUAUCACGGGAGACACACGGCGGGUGCUAACGUCCGUCGUGAAGAGGGAAACAACCCAGACCGCCAGCUAAGGUCCCAAAGUCAUGGUUAAGUGGGAAACGAUGUGGGAAGGCCCAGACAGCCAGGAUGUUGGCUUAGAAGCAGCCAUCAUUUAAAGAAAGCGUAAUAGCUCACUGGUCGAGUCGGCCUGCGCGGAAGAUGUAACGGGGCUAAACCAUGCACCGAAGCUGCGGCAGCGACACUAUGUGUUGUUGGGUAGGGGAGCGUUCUGUAAGCCUGUGAAGGUGUGCUGUGAGGCAUGCUGGAGGUAUCAGAAGUGCGAAUGCUGACAUAAGUAACGAUAAAGCGGGUGAAAAGCCCGCUCGCCGGAAGACCAAGGGUUCCUGUCCAACGUUAAUCGGGGCAGGGUGAGUCGACCCCUAAGGCGAGGCCGAAAGGCGUAGUCGAUGGGAAACAGGUUAAUAUUCCUGUACUUGGUGUUACUGCGAAGGGGGACGGAGAAGGCUAUGUUGGCCGGGCGACGGUUGUCCCGGUUUAAGCGUGUAGGCUGGUUUUCCAGGCAAAUCCGGAAAAUCAAGGCUGAGGCGUGAUGACGAGGCACUACGGUGCUGAAGCAACAAAUGCCCUGCUUCCAGGAAAAGCCUCUAAGCAUCAGGUAACAUCAAAUCGUACCCCAAACCGACACAGGUGGUCAGGUAGAGAAUACCAAGGCGCUUGAGAGAACUCGGGUGAAGGAACUAGGCAAAAUGGUGCCGUAACUUCGGGAGAAGGCACGCUGAUAUGUAGGUGAAGUCCCUCGCGGAUGGAGCUGAAAUCAGUCGAAGAUACCAGCUGGCUGCAACUGUUUAUUAAAAACACAGCACUGUGCAAACACGAAAGUGGACGUAUACGGUGUGACGCCUGCCCGGUGCCGGAAGGUUAAUUGAUGGGGUUAGCCGCAAGGCGAAGCUCUUGAUCGAAGCCCCGGUAAACGGCGGCCGUAACUAUAACGGUCCUAAGGUAGCGAAAUUCCUUGUCGGGUAAGUUCCGACCUGCACGAAUGGCGUAAUGAUGGCCAGGCUGUCUCCACCCGAGACUCAGUGAAAUUGAACUCGCUGUGAAGAUGCAGUGUACCCGCGGCAAGACGGAAAGACCCCGUGAACCUUUACUAUAGCUUGACACUGAACAUUGAGCCUUGAUGUGUAGGAUAGGUGGGAGGCUUUGAAGUGUGGACGCCAGUCUGCAUGGAGCCGACCUUGAAAUACCACCCUUUAAUGUUUGAUGUUCUAACGUUGACCCGUAAUCCGGGUUGCGGACAGUGUCUGGUGGGUAGUUUGACUGGGGCGGUCUCCUCCUAAAGAGUAACGGAGGAGCACGAAGGUUGGCUAAUCCUGGUCGGACAUCAGGAGGUUAGUGCAAUGGCAUAAGCCAGCUUGACUGCGAGCGUGACGGCGCGAGCAGGUGCGAAAGCAGGUCAUAGUGAUCCGGUGGUUCUGAAUGGAAGGGCCAUCGCUCAACGGAUAAAAGGUACUCCGGGGAUAACAGGCUGAUACCGCCCAAGAGUUCAUAUCGACGGCGGUGUUUGGCACCUCGAUGUCGGCUCAUCACAUCCUGGGGCUGAAGUAGGUCCCAAGGGUAUGGCUGUUCGCCAUUUAAAGUGGUACGCGAGCUGGGUUUAGAACGUCGUGAGACAGUUCGGUCCCUAUCUGCCGUGGGCGCUGGAGAACUGAGGGGGGCUGCUCCUAGUACGAGAGGACCGGAGUGGACGCAUCACUGGUGUUCGGGUUGUCAUGCCAAUGGCACUGCCCGGUAGCUAAAUGCGGAAGAGAUAAGUGCUGAAAGCAUCUAAGCACGAAACUUGCCCCGAGAUGAGUUCUCCCUGACUCCUUGAGAGUCCUGAAGGAACGUUGAAGACGACGACGUUGAUAGGCCGGGUGUGUAAGCGCAGCGAUGCGUUGAGCUAACCGGUACUAAUGAACCGUGAGGCUUAACCUUACAACGCCGAAGGUGUUU
rnacentral:rRNA from 1 species